GCAUCGAUAGCUCAGUGGCAGAGCGGUGGGGCGUUUACCCAUGCGGCCCGGUCGAUCCGGUUCGAUCCCCAGUCGAUGCA